rnacentral:rRNA from 1 species
UACGUAGGGACCAAGCGUUGUUCGGAUUUACUGGGCGUAAAGGGCGCGUAGGCGGCGCGGUAAGUCACUUGUGAAAUCUCUGAGCUUAACUCAGAACGGCCAAGUGAUACUGCAGUGCUAGAGUGUGGAAGGGGCAAUCGGAAUCCUUGGUGUAGCGGUGAAAUGCGUAGAUAUCAAGAGGAACACCUGAGGUGAAGACGGGUUGCUGGGCCAACACUGACGCUGAGGCGCGAAAGCCAGGGGAGCAAACGGG